CAAGGAAACCAUUAGAUUUCACACCAUUUGUCCACAUAAAGAUCUUAAAAAUGUUCAGUUUUUGAAUUUACAUUUAAUUGCUCUAAAGAGGUGGACUCCAUAUCUGUUACUAUACUCAAAAGUCCUAUUCCAGUUGCUAAAGCAAUUCAUGCUCUAAAUAUGUCUCAAAUGGAUGUGGUCAUGCUUUGCAAUCGCUUUUCUUUCUCUUCUUUGAAUUUGGUGCAAGUGGAGAUUCUAUAUCCCUUUAACGUCAAAUGUAUCUUCCAUAUCACGAAGGACCAAAAAUAAGAUCCGGAGCAACCAACCUAAAGUAAAAGAUCAUACAAGGAUUUCUUCUUCGACACACCAGUUACACUGACAGCAAAACCACAAAAGCACCAACGAACCCACAAACAGAUAGACUUCUGAUGUCACCAUAAGAGAGCAAGAUGAAACAGACAAGCAACAAUACUACAUUAUUUCUUGCGAAAAAACAGGCCAGCUCUUGAAACUGUUUCCAUGGAUUGCAAGCAUCAGUGAGGCAUUCUGGUUAUCUCCCCAUUCAAUGAUCAAUCAACAGUAAAGAACUAUAUGGUCUAAUCUUACGGAAAAUAUAAAAAUUUGAAUCUUUUCUCAAAGUUUAGAAACACUUAUCUGGUGUAACGUGUGAUUUGUGUCAAAAAAAAGACCCUGCACUGUAAUGAUCAUUGAUCUCAUUCAACAAGCAGCAAUGCACAUGCGACAACUACAUUACUGAGAUUCGUAACUGGCAUUUUUAGGGAUACAUUGACCAAAAA
rnacentral:misc_RNA from 1 species